GCUUGUCUCAAAGAUUAAGCCAUGCAUGUCUCAGUAUAAGCUUCUAUACGGCGAAACUGCGAAUGGCUCAUUAAAACAGUUAUAGUUUAUUUGGUGGUCAACUCUUACAUGGAUAACCGUGGUAAUUCUAGAGCUAAUACAUGCGAAAAGACGCGACUCACGAAGCGUUGUAUUUAUUAGAUACAAAACCAAUGCGGGGCAACCCGGUAUAAGGUGAUUCAUAAUAACUUUGCGAAUCGCAUGGCCUUGCGCCGGCGAUGAAUCAUUCAAAUUUCUGCCCUAUCAACUUUCGAUGGUAAGGUAUUGGCUUACCAUGGUCGCAACGGGUAACGGGGAAUAAGGGUUCGGUUCCGGAGAGGGAGCCUGAGAAAUGGCUACCACAUCCAAGGAAGGCAGCAGG
rnacentral:rRNA from 1 species